GUUUCCCUCUGGGAGGAAGAUGGAGGAGAGGUUUCCCUCUGGGAGGAAGAUGGAGGAGAGGUUUCCCUCUGGGAGGAAGAUGGAGGAGAGGUUUCCCUCUGGGAGGAAGAUGGAGGAGAGGUUUCCCUCUGGGAGGAAGAUGGAGGAGAGGUUUCCCUCUGGGAGGAAGAUGGAGGAGAGGUUUCCCUCUGGGAGGAAGAUGGAGGAGAGGUUUCCCUCUGGGAGGAAGAUGGAGGAGAGGUUUCCCUCGGGGGGGAAGAUGGAGGAGAGGUUUCCCUCGGGGGGGAAGAUGGAGGAGAAGUUUCCCUCUUCCCUCGGGGGGGAAGAUGGAGGAGAAGUUUCCCUCGGGGGGAAGAUGGAGGCAGAGAAUACAGGUGAAACAGAGGUAGACCUCAGAAGGUAGGCUACAGCGAAAGAUAGAUGACCCCCUCAGUACCAGAUGUG